rnacentral:misc_RNA from 1 species
UAUGAAGGUUAGCCUGCUUCAACAUGAUUUAUAUGUUUUGGGAAUUGAUUUAUGUUCGCUAAACGAGGACAGACCGAGAGGUCGUGGUAGAGAAUCGUGGAGCUCCGCGACAGUUCGCUCUCGAGCAAGGAC